rnacentral:rRNA from 1 species
GCGAAGGAGCAAUCCGAGUAGAGCGGCGCACGGGUGCGUAACACGUGGAUAAUCUGCCCUUGAAUUCGGGAUAACCUUCCGAAAGGUUGGCUAAUACCGGGUAAGCUCACGGUGACUUCGGUCGCUGUGGGAAAAGUAGACCUCUGUUUACAAGUUUACGUUUGAGGAUGAGUCCGCGGCCCAUCAGCUAGUUGGCGGGGUAAUGGCCCACCAAGGCUACGACGGGUAGCUGGUCUGAGAGGACGAUCAGCCACACUGGAACUGAGACACGGUCCAGACUCCUACGGGAGGCAGCAGUGGGGAAUUUUCCACAAUGGGCGAAAGCCUGAUGGAGCAACGCCGCGUGUGUGAUGAAGGUCUUCGGAUCGUAAAGCACUUUCGACCGGGACGAAAAACCUCUGGCUAACAUCCAGGGGCCUGACGGUACCGGGAGAAGAAGCACCGGCUAACUCUGUGCCAGCAGCCGCGGUAAUACAGAGGGUGCAAGCGUUGUUCGGAAUUAUUGGGCGUAAAGCGCGUGUAGGCGGCUUGGCAAGUCAGAUGUGAAAGCCCAUGGCUUAACCAUGGAAGUGCGUCUGAAACUGCUGAGCUUGAGUGCCGGAGAGGAUGGCGGAAUUCCGCAAGUAGAGGUGAAAUUCGUAGAUAUGCGGAGGAACACCGGUGGCGAAGGCGGCCAUCUGGACGGCAACUGACGCUGAGACGCGAAAGCGUGGGGAGCAAACAGGAUUAGAUACCCUGGUAGUCCACGCUGUAAACGAUGAGAACUAGGUGUCGUGGGUGUUGACCCCCGCGGUGCCGUAGCUAACGCAUUAAG